rnacentral:rRNA from 1 species
GACGAACGCUGGCGGCGUGCUUAACACAUGCCAGUCGAACGGAAAGGCCCUGCUUUUGUGGGGUGCUCGAGUGGCGAACGGGUGAGUAACACGUGAGUAACCUGCCCUUGACUUUGGGAUAACUUCAGGAAACUGGGGCUAAUACCGGAUAGGAGCUCCUGCUGCAUGGUGGGGGUUGGAAAGUUUCGGCGGUCGGGGAUGGACUCGCGGCUUAUCAGCUUGUUGGUUGGGUAGUGGCUUACCAAGGCUUUGACGGGUAGCCGGCCUGAGAGGGUAACCGGCCACAUUGGGACUGAGAUACGGCCCAGACUCCUACGGGAGGCAGCAGUGGGGAAUAUUGCACAAUGGGCGGAAGCCUGAUGCAGCAACGCCGCGUGCGGGAUGACGGCCUUCGGGUUGUAAACCGCUUUCGCCUGUGACGAAGCGUGAGUGACGGUAAUGGGUAAAGAAGCACCGGCUAACUACGUG